rnacentral:sRNA from 1 species
UAUUAAUUUUAUUUUAUGAUAUGAUUUUGAAUUAUAAUCGAAACAUUUUAGCUAAUAACAUAGGAGUGCACCAUAUUUAUUUAAUAGGGGAAUGUACCAUAUGACCCGAAUGCACUUUUAUCCAAAUCAACCAAAAAAGUCUUGCAAAAAUACUUUAGAGAUAAUAAACGAUAGUUGGUUUGAUAGGUAUAAGAUUAACAAAUAUAUUAGUUAGCUUAAAUUAGUUAAAGAAUACAAAUUGAAAAGGUAUAUUACACUUUAUUCGAAUAUAGUAUCAAAACUUAUAUAACACAGAGAUUUGAUAAAUUUUUAAUUGUUGAAUACUUUUUUUUUGUGCUAAUUUUUUUGUGAUUAAGAUUUAAUUAAUUUCGUAUAUAAAAUAUUAAAUUGUUUUACGAACUUAUUUGUUUAUAAUUUGGUAACAGAUAGAUAUUUGAAUAUUUGAUAUAUUUUGCUUCAGUUUAGAAAAUCUUUGAUGACCUGUCUUUAGAUCCAAUAAGCCCUAUAAUUAAGAAAUGAAUAUUGU